AAUGCGGCUGCUUCGGAUGAAAAAAGUAUCUGAGAAGCCUGCAGAAAGUGACCACGCUUCCAGCAACCCAAUCCCGUGUCCUGGCGCACUUCUUGAACUGAAGCUUGCCUUUGAAGCAGAAAUAAGGUUUAGAGACGCAGUGGAGGCUAUGGAGGCCAAGCUAAGCAAAAAACAAGAGAUUUUGGAACGGGGAAGUCUUAUGGGACUUGAAGAAUUUGUUCGACCCAAGAAGGCCGAUGCUGCGGUUUUUACUACAGCACAAGGACUUGGCAACAGGCCUCCACCA
rnacentral:lncRNA from 1 species